GACGAACGCUGGCGGCGUGCUUAACACAUGCAAGUCGAGCGGUAAGGCCCUUUCGGGGGUACACGAGCGGCGAACGGGUGAGUAACACGUGGGUGACCUGCCCUCAGCUCUGGGAUAAGCCUGGGAAACGUGGGUCUAAUACUGGAUAUGACUCCACGGUGCAUGUCGUGGGGUGGAAAGCCUUGUGCGGCUGAGGAUGGGCCCGCGGCCUAUCAGCUUGUUGGUGGGGUGAGGCCUACCAAGGCGACGACGGGUAGCCGGCCUGAGAGGGCGACCGGCCACACUGGGACUGAGACACGG
rnacentral:rRNA from 1 species